rnacentral:rRNA from 1 species
UGGGGAAUAUUGCGCAAUGGGCGAAAGCCUGACGCAGCAACGCCGCGUGAGUGAUGAAGGCCUUCGGGUCGUAAAGCUCUGUCGGAGGGAACGAAUGCUCCUGAAGUUAACAGCCUCAGGAGGUGACGGUACCCUCAAAGGAAGCACCGGCUAACUCUGUGCCAGCAGCCGCGGUAAUACGGAGGGUGCGAGCGUUAAUCGGAAUUACUGGGCGUAAAGCGCGCGUAGGCGGCUUUGUAAGUCGGAUGUGAAAGCCCCGGGCUUAACCUGGGAAUUGCAUUCGAUACUGCAUAGCUAGAGUAUGGUAGAGGGUAGCGGAAUUCCGGGUGUAGCGGUGAAAUGCGUAGAUAUCCGGAGGAACACCAGUGGCGAAGGCGGCUACCUGGACCAAUACUGACGCUGAGGCGCGAAAGCGUGGGGAGCAAACAGGAUUAGAUACCCGAGUAGUCCCUGAGCGGGCUGGCAAGGCGCAU